rnacentral:misc_RNA from 1 species
UCAGUUCGCAGCGAAAUGGAUCAACAAACGACACGAGUAACGUUCAAAGAAAUUAUGGCGAAGGCGUACGGAGGUGUGUUGAUCGUGGCGGAUGUGCUGCUCCUUCUUCUGAAGAUUCUCUGUUACAUCGUCGAAGGCGUAUACAGAUUGUUCGUACCUGUAGAGGAGAAAAGCGUCGCUGGAGAAAUUGUUCUGGUUACAGGCGCAGGCCACGGAAUCGGCAGAGAAGUAGCGUUAAAAUAUGCCUCUCUGGGCGCUACGGUUGUCUGUUGGGACUUGAACCAACAAGGAAACGAUGAAACCAUCAAUGAAAUUAAGAAACUCGGCGCGUCGAAAGCUUACGGUUACAAAUGCGACGUAUCGAACAGAGAAGAGGUGUUUCAGGUAGCCGAGGUAAUGAGAAAGGAAGUCGGGAACGUGACGAUUCUGAUUAACAAUGCUGGCAUUAUGCCCACCCGUAAUUUGCUGGAUCACACACCUGAAGAAAUUAAACGGAUAUUUGAUAUCAAUGUGAUGGCACACUUUUGGACCUUGCAAGCUUUCUUACCCAGCAUGAUUCAAAAGAAUCAUGGUCAUGUCGUUGCUCUUUCCUCGGUUGCUGGAUUUUUUGGUCUACCUAAUCUCGUUCCUUACUGCGCCUCGAAAUUUGCUGUCAGAGGAUUGAUGGAAGCCCUGCACGAAGAGCUCAGAGUAUCCAACAAGGACAAGGCUUCGAAUAUUAAUUUCACCACGAUUUGUCCGUACAUGGUGAACACGGGUCUCUGCAAGAAACCGAAGAUCAGACUCGAUUACUGGACUAAAGAUUUACAAGCUUCAUGGCGAUCAUUUCACCGAAAGAUGCAGCUGCUGAAAUAGUUAAAGCACAGAGGCGAAACUACGUGGAACUCUCUAUUCCCUCGUUCUGGGCCUAUAUAAAUGCUUUUUACAGAUGUGCUCCAGAGACGUGCUUACGCAGUACGAUAGACUUCCUAGACGCCGGUGUUGAAGCAGAUAGUUAGCGAACAUUUAAUGUUCCUAUGUAAGUGCCGUGCAAGGAAGUGUUAUAUAACUGUAUAAGCACUCUAUAACGAAAUGUUAAACAAGAAUAUAUUCGCUUACAAUUACGAAUGAUCUUCGUAAACUAUCUAUAAGAAAUAAUUUCUGAUUUAUCACGUGUCGCUUGUCCGUGGUAUUUACUUUGUAUUACCACUACUUUUUAUAAAUCCUAUUUAAAUUUUUACUUUUACGUUUUAUAAAUUUGUAGAUAGUUUUACGGUAUGUGAAGAAGAUAGAACGUUUAACACGAUUAUCUGGUUUUUAUCGUCGUUACCAUAUCUACACCCGUCUUACGAUAUAUCGUAAGAGAAAAAAAUUCUAUGUAUAAUGAUUUAAAUGUAAUCGAGAAAAUAUCUCGUCAUGUUUAUAUGUAACGAUUCGUAUUGCGUCUUCAUCUUCUAACGUAAUAAUAAAUAAAUAUACAAAUA